UCCGGCGUGGUCUAGUGGCUAGGAUACCUUUCCUUCACUCAGGAGGCCCGGGUUCGAUUCCCGGCGUCGGAA
rfam:Ixodes scapularis strain Wikel colony gcontig_1108379574276, whole genome shotgun sequence.